rnacentral:lncRNA from 1 species
GCGGUGGCUCCUGGACCUUUAGCAAACCUCGACUAUGGAACAGUACUUGGACUGGAGCACCAGCUCUUCCUGGGUCUUGAGUCUGCCGGCCUUGGCCUUCGCCCUUGAACUACACUAGCAGCUCUCCUGGUUCUCAGGUCUUCAGACUCCAAUGGAACUAAAUCAUCAGCCCUCCUGGGUCUCCAGCUUGCCAACUCAUCCUGCAGAUCUUGAGAUGCCGUAAUCACAUGAGCCAAUUCUUUAUAAAAGAAGUGAUGAAACUGGCCCACAGAAGAGGUCGCUGAGAUGUGUGGUCAUCAGGCUAAGGGGCUCUGGGAUGGGCAUUCCCCCACCCCAACCCCUGGCUGUCCCCUUCCUCAGUCCGAGGGAAGGGUCUCCCCUUCAACCAGCUCAGAGUUCAGCUUAGUUCUUGACUCGGGUCUCAUCUCCAGGGGUAAAGGCCAUCACCUUGGCUGGAGCAGGGAUCUGGGAGGGAAGCCCAGGGUACAGGGAGGUGGUGGCGAUGAUUUCAGGUUCAGGCUUUUGGAAUCACCCACAUCUGUGGUGCUUCCAGGCUGUGGAUCACAGUGCUGGGUCCUUGGCCGUGGUGAGUUCCAGUGCUGGAGCUAGGGCCUGGCAGGACUGAGGACGAAGUAAAGCUCUACCUCUCAGAAGUGACGGCCUCAACAAGACUUACCCUCGAAGCUGUGCUGCUGAGGACACGUGGCACAGGGGUUGCACGGUCAGCUUUUAAUGCAAUGUGCGGUGAUGCAGAUCCUGUCCCUGGACAACCUUUUUUUGAGGCGACUAUCCUGCUACCCUCUACGUUUCGGUUUGCCUUCACUGGUUCUCUAACUUUCUGAGUCUUUGUUUUAGUCAAGUGUGUAAAUAUCAGGAUCUGGUAAGAGAUGCUUCC